rnacentral:ncRNA from 1 species
GUGCCCUGAAAGGGGUGCUGCAUCAUUGUGCGGCUGAGAUGAUACCCUGGAACUUGUUUCCACACCUGACCUAGGUAAUGCUAGCGUAGGGAUUUAUAAUUUAUCAUCU